AAAAAGGGUGCUUGUUACUGGAUAGCACGCGGAUUCAAUUGAAUCCGUGGGGUAUGGGAAUCAAGACAUACCCAGCACGUAAUUUUUGCAACUGUUGGGGCUGUUUCUUGGCACAGUUUCGGAGACGCCCCC